CGCGGUAAUUCGGAGGGUGCGAGCGUUAUCCGGAAUCAUUGGGUUUAAAGGGUCCGCAGGCGGACGUAUAAGUCAGUGGUGAAAGCCUACAGCUUAACUGUAGAACUGCCAUUGAAACUGUACGUCUUGAAUUCGGUCGAAGUGGGCGGAAUGUGUCAUGUAGCGGUGAAAUGCAUAGAUAUGACACAGAACACCGAUAGCGAAGGCAGCUCACUAGGCCUGAAUUGACGCUCAGGGACGAAAGCGUGGGGAGCGAACAGGAUUAGAUACCCUGGUAGUCCACGCCGUAAACUAUGAUUACUCGUUUUCGGCGAUAUAAUGUCGGAGACUAAGCGAAAGUGAUAAGUAAUCCACCUGGGGAGUACGAUCGCAAGGUUGAA
rnacentral:rRNA from 1 species